GCAAGUCGAGCGGGCAUAGCAAUAUGUCAGCGGCAGACGGGUGAGUAACGCGUGGGAACGUACCUUUUGGUUCGGAACAACACAGGGAAACUUGUGCUAAUACCGGAUAAGUCCUUGCGGGGAAAGAUUUAUCGCCGAAAGAUGGGCCCGCGUUUGAUUAGCUAGUUGGUAAGGUAAUGGCUCACCAAGGCGACGAUCAGUAGCUGGUCUGAGAGGAUGAUCAGCCACAUUGGGACUGAGACACGGCCCAAACUCCUACGGGAGGCAGCAGUGGGGAAUAUUGGACAAUGGGCGCAAGCCUGAUCCAGCCAUGCCGCGUGAGUGA
rnacentral:rRNA from 1 species